CGGCUCAGUAACACGUGGAUAACCUACCCUUGAGACGGGGAUAAACCCGGGAAACUGGGUAUAAUACCCGAUAGAUCUCGACUGCUGGAAUGCAUCGAGCUUGAAAGCUCCGGCGCUCAAGGAUGGGUCUGCGGCCUAUCAGGUAGUAGUGGGCGUAGCGUACCUACUAGCCUACGACGGGUACGGGUUGUGAGAGCAAGAGCCCGGAGAUGGAUUCUGAGACACGAAUCCAGGCCCUACGGGGUGCAGCAGGCGCGAAAACUUUACAAUGCUGGAAACAGCGAUAAGGGGACCUCGAGUGCCAGGUUACAAAUCUGGCUGUCGUGAUGCCUAAAAAGCAUUGCAUAGCAAGGGCCGGGCAAGACCGGUGCCAGCCGCCGCGGUAACACCGGCGGCUCGAGUGGUAACCGUUAUUAUUGGGUCUAAAGGGUCUGUAGCCGGCCGGAUAAGUCUCUUGGGAAAUCUGGCAGCUUAACUGUCAGGCUUUCAGGAGAUACUGUCUGGCUCGAGGCCGGGAGAGGUGAGAGGUACUUCAGGGGUAGGGGUGAAAUCUUGUAAUCCUUGAAGGACCACCAGUGGCG
rnacentral:rRNA from 1 species